rnacentral:rRNA from 1 species
AGGGAAUCUUCCGCAAUGGACGAAAGUCUGACGGAGCAACGCCGCGUGAGUGAAGAAGGUCUUCGGAUCGUAAAACUCUGUUGUUAGGGAAGAACAAGUAUCGUUCGAAUAGGGCGGUACCUUGACGGUACCUAACCAGAAAGCCACGGCUAACUACGUGCCAGCAGCCGCGGUAAUACGUAGGUGGCAAGCGUUGUCCGGAAUUAUUGGGCGUAAAGCGCGCGCAGGCGGUCUUUAAGUCUGAUGUGAAAGCCCACGGCUCAACCGUGGAGGGUCAUUGGAAACUGGGGAACUUGAGUGCAGAAGAGGAGAGUGGAAUUCCACGUGUAGCGGUGAAAUGCGUAGAGAUGUGGAGGAACACCAGUGGCGAAGGCGACUCUCUGGUCUGUAACUGACGCUGAGGCGCGAAAGCGUGGGGAGCGAAC